GGAGUAAAAGUAGGCUCAUAGAGAUUCCUUUUCAGAUAUGAUUAGAAUGUAAGAGUAUGCCCAAAGAUCAAUAAUGAUAUGGUUGUUAUAACAUACUUGAUUUAUCAUGUUUAUUAAUAUAAUGCGUUACCAUUAUUAUUUUAGUUUCUUUUGUGUGUAUAAAUAAACUAUUUUAUAUUAAUGUCCUGAGAAUAAUAUGAUUAUUCUUAAAAGGUCUUUAGUCAAGUAUUACUGUUUGCUAGGACAACAAUAAUGCAUUAAGGCUAACAUGUAGUUG
rnacentral:lncRNA from 1 species